UACAGUUCUCAUAGCUACUAUCUCAGCUGUUAGCCCUUCUAUCUCAUUCUGGGUUGCGCUCAAGGAGGCGGCAAUGGCAUUUGCAAGCAUCUCCAUAGCGCAAGCCAUUUAAAUGAGUUCCCGGGAUACUACCAUAGGACGGGAAGAGGAUCAUAAAAAAUUGCUCAGCCUUCAUUUGGCAUCGGUUGGAAAUCCUCGUGUGCUGGUGUAACUAGUUCAUGCUUCUCAUGUGUGGGACCACAUCUGCACCAUAACAGUGUCCAGUGAUGGGGUCCUUUUAGUCGUUCCCAAGUUGCCCCUUCUGCCGGCGGCAUUCGUGGUAACCAUGGUAGGCCCAGGAUCCACAUACAAAAUAUGUGCCAUUAACCAGUCGGGGUAUAUCUGCUGUGCUAGUCAAUUUUAAUUUCCAAUCUCGUUUAAAGGGAGGUGUGUACCAUCCUUUAAAUAUGGGUUAGUCCUCAAGUUUGCCUUUCUGAAGGCACCUAUCAGUUGCUGUUUUAUUGCAAAAACAGUGUAAGGCCAGAAUCUCAAUAAGAUAAAGGGAUAUUGUCAGAAUCAGAAUCAGAAUCAGAAUCACACUUUAUUUGCCAAGUAUGUUUUGCAACAUACGAGGAUUUCAUUGGCCAGGUCAGUCAUACAUUUAAAAGCAACAAAUCACUUAAAAACACAGUUUAACAUGAACAUCCACCACAGUGACUCCUACACAUUCCUCACUGUGAUGGAAGGCGAAAUAAAAUUCAAGUCUUUCCUUUUGUUCUUCCUCGGUCGGGGGCCUCGAGCCCUCCGUUGACGGGAUGGUCUUGACUUCCGUAGCCGGCGGCGUUUGGGCCCUCUGCAUCGAGGUGUUCAGCUCCUGCAUCAGGGGGGUGUCAGCUCCCCCGAGCCGGGCAAUUGAGCCUCGCGUCGGGGCUGGUUGAACCUUCUGCGAUGUUGGAGCUCCCGACUAGCCUCUCCAGAGACUACGAGCCCUUGAUGGUAAGUCCACAGUGGUCGCGGUGGGAGCGAUCCCAGGCAAGGGAUCUGCUCCGUUGUUAAGUCCGCGCCCCGCUGUGGGAGUUCACGACAGUCCGAGGAGGCUUCCAGCUCCAGCGAUGUUAGGCCGCAGAGCCUGGAGAAUGUGAUCUGAAAAUUGAUCACAUCUCCGUGAAGGUAGGAACUUGAAAAAAAGUUUCCCCCGAUCCCCUACCCCCUCAUAAAACAAACCGAAGAACAUUAAAACCAACUUUUAACAAACUAAAAAAUAACAAAAAGAAAGGGGGUAUUCCUCCUCCAUCAUUAUAUGGGAAUUGUGUACACACCCACCCAUUAUCACGAAGGGCAAAUUCAAAACUCAUAGAUAGAAACAAGUUAUUUCCCCAAGUCCAGUCCAUCUGGGCCAACCCCAGGGUAAAAGGAGGGUCAAUAGCCCCAUUGUCCUCUCUUGGUUCUCCGAACCGUUUACCGUCAAUCAGAUGUAUCCAACGGGGGUGAUCUUCAACCUUCAUGGCAGUUGAUGUUGUUGGUAGCACUUGGUACAGUUCCUUUCAACACAGUCUCAAUUUCUUUCGGUCCCAGUACUUGGCAAGGCAUGGGUUAAUUACUGUGCAUACAUAAUUAGUUAAUCGCUGAGGGUCUGUUGGUGUAACUUCCACAUCUUCUGGUAGAUUCAUAGCUUAUCCAGUUAUCAAUUCAAAAGGCAUUAAUCCUGUCUCUCUAGCUGGGGUUGUUCUGAACCAUCAGAAUAACUUAACCCAUUCCUGUCCAGUCUCAGUCAAGGCUUUACUUAAACUCUUUCAUGUCCUAUUCAUUCCCUCCACUAAUCCAAAACUCUGCGGGUGGUUUGGAAAUUUGAAAUCGGUCUUUAAAUACUGGCAAGGCAGAAGCCUCCUUCAUCACCUUCCCGGUGAAGAAUCUAUCUGAAGAAGGACCUCCACCUAAAUAUUAUCUCUUCAAUUGUCCAAAUAUGUUUCUCCUCACCAAUCUACUUUAUCUCUCACUUUUUACCCCUCAUCCCUCAAACCCCCUUUUGUAAGUUACGGUCUGAUGUAAUCAACUAACACAGUGCUGCAUGGACCUUCAUUUGACCAUUACACAGCACAUGCUUCAAGCCACCACACAUUUACUUCCCUGUAGACAGGACAUUUGAAUUCUGAAAGAAACACUAUGAUCACAUCAAAACAAGCUUUCCCUAAAACUCAAAAACAAACGGCAUUUUUGCAUCUCUCCUCUGUUUAAGAGUUAAAAGAAAACAACAAAUAAACAGUUCAUUUCCACAUAAAUGGAUAAGCAUAUCCAAAGAACAAAGAAAAAUAAAAUAACGAUGUAUGGCUCCACCCCCACACAACUGCAACUUCUUAAAGACACACUACCUCUUAAAACAUUUUUUUUUCUGUGACAUUCACUCACAAGUUGCCACACCUCAUUCAAUAUACUAAGUCUCACAGAUAUUCACACACUUUAAAACAAUACAAUUCUCACUCAAAAGUAUCACAAUUAUACACACCUCAGGGAAAUUAUUCAAGCCAAUUACUCUCGAGCCAAAGGCUCACACUUUUCUCACAGGGUACUUCCCUCACUGCCGCUCCCUAAGAGCCGUCUUGCUUAUAUUGAUUGAUAAAUUGCCCUCUGGCUCACUUCUAACUCUCCUCCCACCCGGGCUAGAGCCAAUCAGUGUUUUCUCCUGCUUCUCUUUAGUGCUGUUGCUUCAAAAUCCACGGGAGCUCUGAGUAAAAAGAGGUUAUAGCUGAAUGGCUAUCGAGAAAAAUCUGGUACUGAACCUGGAUGUUAUAGUUUUCAGGCUCCUGAACCUUAUUUCCGAUGGCAGAGGUGAAAUGAGCGUGUGGCUAGGAUUGGUCUCUGAAAGUAGUAAGAGGCAGCAGUGUAUCCCGGGUUAUCAUGCAGAGUGCUUCUGCAACAUAACAACAAUAAAUCGAGCGAUAGCAGGAUGAAAGUUCAAGAUGCUGAAAAGCCUGAAGCAGGUGAAUCACCUCAAGAGGCAGUUCCUGAUGGUGAAGCAGAUGAGCCGGCCCCAAAGAGACUGCUUCGAUCCAUGACAAGUCAUAGUCAACAAACAGCAACUGUCGAGCACACUGACCACAGGCAUGCCCUACCAGCACAUUGCAUCAUUUGUAAAUGUUCAAAGUACACAAAAUAAAUAAAUUGUGGAAAAAAAUUAUUAUAUAAAGUUUUAUUUUAAUGUGGAUCGUUUCACUGUUUAUUUGGUCAAAUUAUUUAAACAAUGAGUGAAUUACUUAUGAUAAUGGCGUGCUGGUGAAUGACUGCGACAAUCCACCCACCGCUCCAUACAUACAUACAUACAUACAUACAUACAUACAUACAUACAUAUGCACAUCCACACACACACAUCCAUCCAUACGCACACUUCCAUGCAGGCAAACACCCACAUACAUGCACACAUAAAUCCGCACACACACACACAUCCACACAUCCAUUCACAUGCAGACAUACAUGUACACAUCCAAACAUACAUGCACACAU